GGAAAAAUCAAGCAGUUGGUUAAAGCAGCGAUGGUGGACAAACUGAUCGUCGCCGUUGAAGGCACCGCUGUGUUGGGCCCUUACUGGAAAAUCAUCGUUUCCGAUUACCUUGAUAAAAUUAUCAGGUGCUUUUUUGGAGUGGACUCAACUUCACAGAAAUCAUCUGCAGCCGAUGUGGAGGUCUCCAUGGUCAUGUUUAAUACACAUGGUCCUUAU
rnacentral:misc_RNA from 1 species